UAUUCCCCACUGCUGCCUCCCGUAGGAGUCUGGGCCGUGUCUCAGUCCCAAUGUGGCCGUUCAACCUCUCAGUCCGGCUACCGAUCGUCGCCUUGGUGGGCCGUUACCCCGCCAACAAGCUAAUCGGACGCGAGUCCAUCUCUAAGCGAUAAAUCUUUGAUAUCAAAGUCAUGCGGCUUCAAUAUGUUAUGCGGUAUUAGCGAUCUUUUCAGAACGUUAUUCCCCUCUUAGAGGCAGGUUACUCACGCGUUACUCACCCGUCCGCCACUAAACUAAAAAUCCAUCAUUCCGAAGAAAUCUGUCAAAAUAGUUCCGUUCGACUUGCAUGUGUUAGGCACGCCGCCAGCGUUCAUCCUGAGCCAAA
rnacentral:rRNA from 1 species